GAUGAACGCUGGCGGCGUGCCUAAUACAUGCAAGUAGAACGCUGAAGGAGGAGCUUGCUCUUCUGGAUGAGUUGCGAACGGGUGAGUAACGCGUAGGUAACCUGCCUGGUAGCGGGGGAUAACUAUUGGAAACGAUAGCUAAUACCGCAUGACAACAGUUAUUGCAUGAUAACUGUUUAAAAGGGGCAACUGCUCCACUAACAGAUGGAACUGCGUUGUAUUUGCUAGUUGGUGAGGUAACGGCCCACCAAGGCGACGAUACAUAGCCGAACUGAGAGGGGGAUCGGCCACACUGGGACUGAGACACGGCCCAGACUCCUACGGGAGGCAGCAGUAGGGAAUCUUCGGCAAUGGACGGAAGUCUGACCGAGCAACGCCGCGUGAGUGAAGAAGGUUUUCGGAUCGUAAAGCUCUGUUGUAAGGGAAGAACGAGUGUGAGAGUGGAAAGUUCACACUGUGCCGGUAUCUUACAAGAAAGGGACGGCUAACUACGG
rnacentral:rRNA from 1 species